rnacentral:lncRNA from 1 species
GAAGUGACUCUCCAGGGGAGCUAAAAUCCAUGUAUUUGGGCACACACUUGAACAAUAUUGCUAGAGAAAUUUAAGCAAGAACACAAAGGUUAAUGACAUCUCUUGUGGGGAUCACCGUAAGAAUAAAACAAGGCACUACGUUGUCUGGGAUGAUGGAAAGAGCUAAAGUCUUCAGUGAAUGAAGGAGCAGGGCCAGGAGCUCAAAAUACUUCUUUGAAGACAAAGAAGAAAUGAUAUUACCAAAUGGUUGGCUCAAAAGAACAGGGAUUUUGCAACAGAGAGAGUAUGUCAUGGUCUUGAACAAGCAAUGUUUUGCCAGGACGAUUAAAUAUCAUUGAUGCUUCUGGUCUACAAUUAGUCAGAGAAGAGAUAAAAAAAAUGAUGAGUAUUCAAGAAGGAAAGUGUUUGCUUUAACAUAUGAAGAAAAGGAGCUUCAAAGUGGUGAUUAACCCCAGAAUUGUGUGGAACGGAUAUGGAAACAAGACCACAGGAGCAUCGAGAACUGAGCAGAACUGAAGGUGACAUGAAAAUCAGCUGCAAGAUUCACCUCAGGGUGAUAAUGGGCUGCAGGUGGCUGCAGGAAUCCCGGGACAUUCUAGGCACUGCCAUAUUUUCUUAGGGGCCAGUAAGGAUGGCUAUCAUCAGAUGUACCUGAUGAUACAAACAUGGGCUGUCUUGCCUUCUAGUAUUCAUUCUUGGUGAUUGCAUCCAGAGCUCACUUUGGAGGUGCAGAUCAACUCUUCUUCAGGCUCAUCCAUGCGACUUGAGCAGGCUCUCAU